UACGUAGGUGGCAAGCGUUGUCCGGAAUUAUUGGGCGUAAAGCGCGCGCAGGCGGUUAUGUAAGUCUGAUGUUAAAGCCCGGGGCUCAACCUCGGUUCGCAUUGGAAACUGCGUAACUUGAGUGCAGAAGAGGAAGGUGGUAUUCCACGUGUAGCGGUGAAAUGCGUAGAUAUGUGGAGGAACACCAGUGGCGAAGGCGACUUUCUGGUCUGUAACUGACGAUGAGGCGCGAAAGCGUGGGGAGCAAACAGG
rnacentral:rRNA from 1 species